GGACCUACAAAUGGAGUUUGUGAUCAUGGGAUUAAAUUCGGAUAGUGCUUCCUGAUUUCAUGUUGACUGGAGAUUUUACUACCUAUCUAUGGCUAGUGCUUUCAAUAUCUUGUUUUGAAUUGACGAUAUAGAAACACUGCAUAGUUUUCUAGGCUGUGUUCUGUUGACCAUAAUUUAUAGUUUGACUUUCCUUUUACUGGAGCAGAUACUUAAAAAGAGGAGUAAACGAGAAGGGUAGAGUAGCAAAUGAUGUUGAGACGGAACAAAUUGUGUCUGAAAAUUCUUCUGAAGGAUGUCCAACGCAAAUAAGUUCUAUUGUACAGAUUCGUGGUUCAAUUCCCCUUUUCUGGUCCCAGGAUUCGUCACCUCUAAUUGUUAGACCUGAUAUUCAACUAUCAAGAAAGGACCAUAAAUACGAGGCGACGAGACUUCAUUUUGAGAAUCUUGUAAACAGAUAUGGAAAUCCAAUAAUUAUUUUGAAUUUGAUUAAGACGCGUGAGAAGAAGCCUAGGGAGACAAUUCUGCGUGCAGAGUUUGCAAAUGCUAUUAGAUUUAUAAAUAGAAGUUUUAAAA